CACUCAGCUAAAUUAUUAACACUUUCCGAAUAUGCUCAGAUUUCUUCAUACAUUCUAGUGUGUACAGGUUCCACUUCUCGCUUCUUAAAACAGUUGUAAACAUAAGGACACAUGGCAAAUCUACCGUAAGUAGAAAGGUCAGUGACCGAACCAUUCGCCCAUUACAUACUCCACUGCCCUAAUUAUAUGAACCACAGGUUAUAACUCCUUGGCAAACUUUCCCGGCUUAUAGGACACUCAGUUAACUUAUUA